rnacentral:rRNA from 2 species
AUACUGUGAAACUGCGAAUGGCUCAUUAAAUCAGUUAUCGUUUAUUUGAUAGUACCUUACUACUUGGAUAACCGUGGUAAUUCUAGAGCUAAUACAUGCUGAAAACCCCAACUUCGGGAGGGGUGUAUUUAUUAGAUAAAAAACCAACGCCCUUCGGGGCUUCUUGGUGAUUCAUGAUAACUUUACGGAUCGCAUGGCCUUGCGCCGGCGACGGUUCAUUCAAAUUUCUGCCCUAUCAACUUUCGAUGGUAAGGUAUUGGCUUACCAUGGUUUCAACGGGUAACGGGGAAUUAGGGUUCGAUUCCGGAGAGGGAGCCUGAGAAACGGCUACCACAUCCAAGGAAGGCAGCAGGCGCGCAAAUUACCCAAUCCCGACACGGGGAGGUAGUGACAAUAAAUACUGAUACAGGGCUCUUUUGGGUCUUGUAAUUGGAAUGAGUACAAUUUAAACCUCUUAACGAGGAACAAUUGGAGGGCAAGUCUGGUGCCAGCAGCCGCGGUAAUUCCAGCUCCAAUAGCGUAUAUUAAAGUUGUUGCAGUUAAAAAGCUCGUAGUUGAAACUUGGGUCUGGCUGGCAGGUCCGCCUCACCGCGUGUACUUGUCCGGCCGGGCCUUCCUUCUGGAGAACCUCAUGCCCUUCACUGGGCGUGUUGGGGACCAGGACUUUUACUUUGAAAAAAUUAGAGUGUUCAAAGCAGGCCUUUGCUCGAAUACGUUAGCAUGGAAUAAUAGAAUAGGACGUGCGGUCCUAUUUUGUUGGUUUCUAGGACCGCCGUAAUGAUUAAUAGGGACAGUCGGGGGCAUCAGUAUUCAAUUGUCAGAGGUGAAAUUCUUGGAUUUAUUGAAGACUAACUACUGCGAAAGCAUUUGCCAAGGAUGUUUUCAUUAAUCAGUGAACGAAAGUUAGGGGAUCGAAGACGAUCAGAUACCGUCGUAGUCUUAACCGUAAACUAUGCCGACUAGGGAUCGGGCGAUGUUCUUUUUCUGACUCGCUCGGCACCUUACGAGAAAUCAAAGUUUUUGGGUCUGGGG